GCGGAUAUAGUACAAUGGUAGUACGCUAGCUUCCCAAGCUAGACACACGGGUUCGAUUCCCGUUAUCCGCU
rnacentral:tRNA from 1 species